rnacentral:rRNA from 1 species
UACGGGGGGGGCAAGCGUUGUUCGGAAUUACUGGGCGUAAAGGGCUCGUAGGUGGCCAACUAAGUCAGACGUGAAAUCCCUCGGCUUAACCGGGGAACUGCGUCUGAUACUGGAUGGCUUGAGUUCGGGAGAGGGAUGCGGAAUUCCAGGUGUAGCGGUGAAAUGCGUAGAUAUCUGGAGGAACACCGGUGGCGAAGGCGGCAUCCUGGACCGAUACUGACACUGAGGAGCGAAAGCCAGGGGAGCAAACGGGG